rnacentral:rRNA from 1 species
GCAAGUCGAACGCGAAAGGGGAGCAAUCCCUGAGUAGAGUGGCAAACGGGUGAGUAACACGUGGGUGACCUGCCUUCGAGUGGGGGAUAACGUCCCGAAAGGGACGCUAAUACCGCAUGACAUCCUGCUUUUGGAAAAGCGGAAAUCAAAGCUGGGGAUCGCAAGACCUGGCGCUUGAAGAGGGGCCCGCGCCUGAUUAGCUAGUUGGUGAGGUAAUGGCUCACCAAGGCUACGAUCAGUAUCCGGCCUGAGAGGGCGGACGGACACACUGGGACUGAGACACGGCCCAGACUCCUACGGGAGGCAGCAGUGGGGAAUUGUUCGCAAUGGGCGCAAGCCUGACGACGCAACGCCGCGUGGAGGAUGAAGAUCUUCGGGUCGUAAACUCCUGUCGAGCGGGAAGAACAGCUUCGGAGUGAAUAUCUCUGGAGCCUGACGGUACCGCUAAAGGAAGCCCCGGCUAACUCCGUGCCAGCAGCCGCGGUAAUACGGGGGGGGCAAGCGUUGUUCGGAAUUACUGGGCGUAAAGGGCUCGUAGGCGGCCAACUAAGUCAGACGUGAAAUCCCCAGGCUCAACCUGGGAACUGCGUCUGAUACUGGAUGGCUUGAAUUCGGGAGAGGGAUGCAGAAUUCCAGGUGUAGCGGUGAAAUGCGUAGAUAUCUGGAGGAAUACCGGUGGCGAAGGCGGCAUCCUGGACCGACAUUGACGCUGAGGAGCGAAAGCUAGGGGAGCAAACGGGAUUAGAUACCCCGGUAGUCCUAGCCCUAAACGAUGAAUGCUUGGUGUAACGGGUAUCGAUCCCUGUUGUGCCGAAGCUAACGCAUUAAGCAU